GGGGCUGUAGCUCAGUGGUAGAGUGCCUGCCUAGCACGUGUGAAGCACUGAGUUCAAUCCUCAGCACCA
rnacentral:tRNA from 1 species